GACGAACGCUGGCGGCGUGCUUAACACAUGCAAGUCGAACGGUAAGGCCCUUCGGGGUACACGAGUGGCGAACGGGUGAGUAACACGUGGGUGAUCUGCCCUGCACUUCGGGAUAAGCCUGGGAAACUGGGUCUAAUACCGGAUAGGACCACUGCCUGCAUGGGUGGUGGUGGAAAGCUUUUGCGGUGUGGGAUGGGCCCGCGGCCUAUCAGCUGGUUGGUGGGGUGAUGGCCUACCAAGGCGACGACGGGUAGCCGGCCUGGGAGGGUGACCGGCCAAACUGGGACUGGGAUACGGCCCAGACUCCUACGGGAGGCAGCAGUGGGGAAUAUUGCACAAUGGGCGCAAGCCUGAUGCAGCGACGCCGCGUGAGGGAUGACGGCCUUCGGGUUGUAAACCUCUUUCAGCACCGACGAAGCGCAAGUGACGGUAGGUGCAGAAGAAGGACCGGCCAACUACGUGCCAGCCGCCGCCGUAA
rnacentral:rRNA from 1 species